AUUGAACGCUGGCGGCAUGCUUUACACAUGCAAGUCGAACGGUAACAGGGAGCUUGCUCCGCUGACGAGUGGCGAACGGGUGAGUAAUGCGUCGGAACGUGCCGAGUAGUGGGGGAUAACGCAGCGAAAGUUGUGCUAAUACCGCAUACGUACUGAGGUAGAAAGUGGGGGACCUUCGGGCCUCACGCUAUUCGAGCGGCCGACGUCUGAUUAGCUAGUAGGUGAGGUAAAGGCUCACCUAGGCGACGAUCAGUAGCGGGUCUGAGAGGAUGAUACGCCACACUGGGACGGAGACACGGCCCAGACUCCGACGGGAGGAAGCAGUGGGGAAUUUUGGACAAUGGGCGAAAGCCUGAUCCAGCCAUGCCGCGUGUCUGAAGAAGGCCUUCGGGUUGUAAAGGACUUUUGUCGGGGAGGAAAUCCCCAGCGCUAAUACCGCUGGGGGAUGACAGUACCUGAAGAAUAAGCACCGGCUAACUACGUGCCAGCCGCCGCCGUAAGAC
rnacentral:rRNA from 1 species